rnacentral:rRNA from 3 species
AACCUGCGGGAAGGAUCAUUG